GUGACUGCGUACCUUUUGUAUAAUGGGUCAGCGACUUAUAUUCUGUAGCAAGGUUAACCGAAUAGGGGAGCCGGAGGGAAACCGAGUCUUAACCGGGCGUUAAGUUGCAGGGUAUAGACCCGAAACCCGGUGAUCUAGCCAUGGGCAGGUUGAAGGUUGGGUAACACUAACUGGAGGACCGAACCGACUAAUGUUGAAAAAUUAGCGGAUGACCUGUGGCUGGGGGUGAAAGGCCAAUCAAACCGGGAGAUAGCUGGUUCUCCCCGAAAGCUAUUUAGGUAGCGCCUCGUGAAUUCAUCUCCGGGGGUAGAGCACUGUUUCGGCUAGGGGGCCAUCCCGGCUUACCAACCCGAUGCAAACUGCGAAUACCGGAGAAUGUUAUCACGGGAGACACACGGCGGGUGCUAACGUCCGUCGUGAAGAGGGAAACAACCCAGACCGCCAGCUAAGGUCCCAAAGUCAUGGUUAAGUGGGAAACGAUGUGGGAAGGCCCAGACAGCCAGGAUGUUGGCUUAGAAGCAGCCAUCAUUUAAAGAAAGCGUAAUAGCUCACUGGUCGAGUCGGCCUGCGCGGAAGAUGUAACGGGGCUAAACCAUGCACCGAAGCUGCGGCAGCGA
rnacentral:rRNA from 7 species